AUUGAACGCUGGCGGCAUGCCUUACACAUGCAAGUCGAACGGUAACAGGUCUUCGGACGCUGACGAGUGGCGAACGGGUGAGUAAUGCAUCGGAACGUGCCCAGUCGUGGGGGAUAACUGCUCGAAAGAGCAGCUAAUACCGCAUACGACCUGAGGGUGAAAGCGGGGGACCGUAAGGCCUCGCGCGAUUGGAGCGGCCGAUGUCAGAUUAGCUAGUUGGUGGGGUAAAGGCCUACCAAGGCAACGAUCUGUAGUUGGUCUGAGAGGACGACCAGCCGCACUGGGACUGAGACACGGCCCAGACUCCUACGGGAGGCAGCAGUGGGGAAUUUUGGACAAUGGGCGCAAGCCUGAUCCAGCAAUGCCGCGUGCAGGAAGAAGGCCUUCGGGUUGUAAACUGCUUUUGUCAGGGAAGAAAUCUUCUGGGCUAAUACCCCGGGAGGAUGACGGUACCUGAAGAAUAAGCACCGGCUAACUACGUG
rnacentral:rRNA from 1 species